rnacentral:rRNA from 1 species
GAUGAACGCUGGCGGCGUGCCUAAUACAUGCAAGUCGAGCGAACGGACGAGAAGCUUGCUUCUCUGAUGUUAGCGGCGGACGGGUGAGUAACACGUGGAUAACCUACCUAUAAGACUGGGAUAACUUCGGGAAACCGGAGCUAACACCGGCUAAUAUUUUGAACCGCAUGGUUCAAAAGUGAAAGACGGUCUUGCUGUCACUUAUAGAUGGAUCCGCGCUGCAUUAGCUAGUCGGUAAGGUAACGGCUUACCAAGGCAACGAGGCAUAGCCGACCUGAGAGGGUGAUCGGCGACCCUAGAACUGAGACCCGGUCCAGGAUCGUAGGGAGUGCAGCAGUAGGGAAGCAACCGCAAUGGGCGAAAGCCGUAAGGUACAACGGCGCAUGAGUGAUGAGGGUCCGCGGGUAGGAAAACUCUGUUAUAAGGGGAGGACGUAUGUGGAGGUGACUGUGCAGAACGUAGCGGUAUGUAAUUAGAAAGCCACGGCUUACUAGUUG